AUGCACUGUUCCUCCACCGCUGUGGUCAAUGAUUUCCAAAAUCAGGCCAGCCCUUAGACCUAUACCAUGUGACUUUCUGUAAAGCAGAGGUUUGGCUUAUUACUUGGUUAGCUGAGUGGACAAAGCUCUAGUCGUUCAACCCUGAACACAGGUCUGUCUGAACACAGGCAACUGAGCAGAUAAUUUUGUAGAUUCUCUAGUUCUGUAGGAAGUGUCCAAAGUGGAUAUAACAAGCUAACUAUGUGAUCAGAUGACAGAAAGACCCUAAUUAGAAGGACACCCAUGGACCAGCACCUGUAAAAGAGAAGAAACUUGCCAAAGUGAGCAAGGGUAGAUGCCACACAUGGAAGGCAAGCAGGAAGUUCAGGAAAGGACAAGCAUCAUUUUGUGACUUGACAGUGCCUGGCUGAUGACCUGGGGUCAUGUCCAAUACAGCAGGAAUACAGGCCAUCCCACUGCCCACAAGGGCUUGCUUUGAGACAGCUGCAGGACAAUCACAUUUUUCUACUCUUGCUCCUGCAUUCCUGCACUCUUGGUCAGAGAACUGGAUCUCCCUCACUGGUGCAGCAGGACCAACGUCUCCGACCUAGAUGAUGAGCCAGCCUGCAUGGAAGAGGUUGACUACACUUCAGAUGGCAGCUCAGACCAGGAUGAGAGCAUCCUUGAGCUGGACCGGCAGAUCCAGGCAUGUGCCUUCAAUCAGGAUGAGGGAGAAGAAGAGGAGGGGACAAGGCAGAGAAGAAACACCAUCCUGUAAUCCUGAGGUUCAUAGAAACUCUGUUUCCAGUCACUGGACUCAGACACACACAGCGUGAAAUGGCCUGUGUGAGCUCCUGAUUUCAUUCUAGUUCUACUAUGCAUAGAGUCUGGUUACUUCUCGAUUAUAACAUUUUUCUACACUGCUGUACUGCCCUUGGAGCCUAUACAUGCUGCCGUUGCAAUUAGAAUGGGACUCCAUGGUAUGGGAUUACCAUGGGGCCUCUCCAGACAGCACUGAGCUCCCCUGCAUUCCUGUGCUUGAAGCUGAAGCUGGCUGGAAGCAGAGGAGUGGGCUUUCUUCCUGGUUUCUCAAUCAGAAAUCUAUAUGCCUUUAAAUUGUUCCAUAUAUGAGUGUUACAUCAACCAUAGCAUCUGAGCUUUCCAGCACCAACAUAAGCCACUGAAACUCUGAGGGUCCUGGAAGGGUCAGAAAGUAUUGGAUGAUUGAACAUAGAAGGCUGUGCAGUCAGGUAAUUGCAAAUAUCAUCCUGCAGGUCUGUAACAGUAUACAUUUUAUGGAUUUGGUAGAGGCCAGAAGCUCGGUUAGAUUCUAUGGAAUAAGACAUGAUCACUGGUCCUCGCAAAUUUCAAAACCCUACAUAUUCAGGCCAUUAAACACACUCGGGAAGACAGCGUGAUACCCUGGAAAAUGCAUUCAUUUCAGAAUCAGACAGACAAAUGAGGUUUGUAUCCUGGAUCUGGCAUUGCCUGUUAUGAAAAUGUAGGCAAGUAAUUGGAUCUCUCCAAACUUCAGAGUUUUUAUGCAUCCAGUAAGAAUGAGUGUAUGUAUACCAUGAAGUUAUCCCAAAGAUGAAAUGAGAUAUAAAAGUGUGCAGCUUGGCACAUGCUACACAAUAGUGUUGGCUUUUUCCCCUCCACAACACAAAGGUAUUAUAUGUAAGUAGUCUCACAGUUACACACAAAAAAAUGUUCUCUGGGGCCACAUGAUUGAGAAAUAUUCUUUCUCGAAGGGAUCUGGAAAGGAAGUUACAUGGAGGAAGAGCCUAGGUGAGUGAAUGGCUUGAGAGUCUGUGUGCAGAAGGAAGCAUCUCAGAAACAUGAUUGCUGAGGUUAGGGAGGUAGAUAGAAGGGGGACAAUGAUGAGGAGUAUAUUCUAAGUCAAAUACGAGUCUGUUCAAUGCCAUAUGUAUUUAAUCAGGAUUGGAUUUGGCUAUGAGAGAUGGAAAAUUCAAAAUACUAGUAGCUUUGGCAAGGUAUAAGUUUUCUUUCAUACAGAAUUUCACAUGUACAGAGGCCAGAGCUGGUACCUUGGCUGCAUUAUGUCAGAGACCCAGCUUCUAGUCCUCUAGCUCUGCCGUGUGUUGCUUCUAUUCUUGACCUAGAAUUGCUGCAAAAGCAUCAGCUUUUCUCUCUGCAUCCCAGAGAGCAGCAAAAAGAAUACCAAAAAAGAACAUGUUUCCUACUUUGGAAAAAAUCUAUGCAUGGUAUUUGUGCUUGAUCCCACCAACCAGAAAGUUGUCCAAUGACCACAGGUAACUGCAGGGGAGGUCCGAAAAUAUAGCCUUUAUCUGAGAUGGGCCCAGCUGAAAUUUAAAGUUUUAAUGCUAAGGGAAUUGGAAAUAAAAUAGUGUAUACUGGGUGAUCACGUACUUGAAAAAGAGAGUUUGCCUAGCAUACCACCACCCAAAGAGUUUUGAAGCUUUAAAAUAAUUCCAGAGAAUAUGUAUAGUGUUCGCUUGCUCUGAUCAGCAGAAAGAUACAGAGCAAAAGUUUGCCAUAGUUUAAGCAUAAGACAUAAGAGAAAAGCAUGUGUGUUGUGAUUUUGAUUUAGGGAAUUGAUAUUAUUACUUGAUAUUACUUGAUAUUAUAUUAUCUCUGCUGUUUCCUAUUCUUUUUCAGAGUUUCUGGUGUAGCUCAGAAAUUACACACCUAUCCUUCAUAUUAAGACAUUCAGAUUUCUAUGACAUACACAAGAGGUUUGAAGGAAAUAACAAAUCUGAAUUCAGAUCCCAAAGUAACAGCAUCUUUUAACUUCUCCUUUAUACAUUUUUGCCAAUUUUGAAUAGAGAAAUACAUAAUGCUCCUGGUUCUCCAUUGCUUUGAGGAGUUAUGAAAAAAAUAUUGCUGAAAUGUAAAUGCUGGAAAGGGGUGGGAACAAUACUAACUCGCUAUCAGCAAGUAAUACCUCAGCCCAAAUUAAUUUAUGAGAUUAAUUUGUGAUCAACUAGCACAGUUAUGAGAAAAAAGGGAGAAAAGCAGGUGAGUUUCAAUAUAGAAACUUCUGAAAAAAUCAGACACUUGGAACACUUAUUGAUUUAUCUAUACAACAAAGGUAUAUUAAUUGCCCACUGUGUGUCCUGCACUUUUUUAAGCUCUAAGAAUUUAGAGAAAGAAGAUUUACUAUGAACUCAAGUUACUGUAACUUGAUAAGUAAGAAUAGCAAGUAUUUUAUUUUAAGAUAGGGACAUAUAACAUUAUGGGAAUCUGAAAAUGAUAAUAUGGAAAACCCUUAAGAUUGUGGUGGCAAAAGUCUACUAGAAGAUGAAAAUGUAGAUGACAUGUUCAGAAGUUUCAGGCAGGACAUGUUAAGAAAUAGAGAAAGCUUGAAUAGAGGACCUGUGGUAAGGUUAGGACAUGGACUAAAAUGUUCAGUGUUACUAGUUUAAAGAAUAUAGUUGUAUAUUGAGAAACAAGGAAAAUAGCAAGAGAUUAAGUAGAAAAACUAGAUACUAGAUAGCAAUCAGAUGUAACAAUAUUUGCUAUGCCCUGAGGAAGGAGUUGAACUUAAUUCCCAGCGUGGUAGGGGAGAACUACAAAACUUUUCAGCAGUGGCAUGUCUAGAACUACGCACAAUACUAGCACACGUGUCAGCACCAUAGUCCCAACCUGUUCGUAGCCUAGAGUCUGGCACUCUUGCCAGGCUGGUUGUUGACUACCGUGAGGCUACUGCUGGGUGUGGCAUUUUGAUACCUGAAGAACAAUAUUUACAGCGAGGUAAAGAUUAUGGUGCCAUGCUGGUUGUUGGAGACCAACAAGCUACUGGAUUGGAAAGGACCCCUGCAAGCCAGAGGCAUGUCGGGAAAAGGAAGCAUAAGGAGAAGUAUAUACGGAUAAGCACACUCUUAUUGCCCCCUCCAUUCACACACACUACUUGUUGAGCCACACAACACCGUAAGUAUACCAAUUGCUUUUUAGAACCAUUUUUCAGGUUUCUGUUGCUUCUGCUGAGCUUCUCUUCUCCGAUUACCCUAUUUGAGGCAAUGAAAACCCGUUCAGAUUCACCUUUCUCCUUUUAUAAACACCAAAGCCAACUUACACAACCUGUCUUCUGUGCACCAUUGUAUUAUUUAUACAUCUAUUUAGCAGCACACUUUCCAGCUUCUAUACACUGUAUACCCUCACCCCAGGCAGUAGUGAGUAAUGAGCUCUAAAAUGCAUGAACCUGCUAUUAUUUUGGGAUCCCUCUUCCCACCACGCAAACUUUCUGACAUGUUGAAGGUAUUCAGGAAAAUGUGUCCCCUGCUUGACUCCCAGCUUCCAAACUAGACAUCUAAUAUCUUAAUAUCUCAUACAUUUCCUUGCCUUUCUCCAAUUUUCUAUCUUCAAUCAGAGUUUGUGUUAUAUGAAAGAAAAAUAGUUUCAUGAAAAGGGCAUCUUGCAAAGGUACAGAACCUCCCCAGCAGGCAGUUGCCAUGGAAGGCUGCUUCCAGAGUGAGGCCAGCUUAAGAAGGAUCCGGUGGCCUUGUCCUCACUGGUGUAACGCAGACACUUGGACUGAGCAGUGACAAUGGAGCAAAGGCGCCUCUAAGUUUCCCUGGUGGCUGCCGCAUUCAUCCGGGUGCUCUGGACCAUGCAGUCACUUUGGUGGGAACUGGCUGGGUGGCUCCGUGUGCCUUGUACCAACUUGACUGCUUGGGUGCUUUGCUUCUUGCAAUCCCACCAGCGAGUAUCAGCAUCCAAGGAUUCCAUCCACUGGCUCCAGGUUCUCUUAAGCCUCCAGAGAAAAGGAUUCAGAGUCAUAAAGAACAUUUGAGAUUAACCUGGUCCCUGAGCUACAAGCACACAUUGAGGGCUGCCAACACCAAUAAAGUCACAUUAAACUCCCAACCACAGGAGAAAUUCUCACAUGCAGCUUCCAUUCAUUAGCCUGGAGACUUAGCUGUAGAGUUGAUUUCAUGUUCCAAGAGAAGAGGCUUCUAUGAAAUGCCUGACAUAAGUCAUCCUUGUUAGGAAUUAGCACAGUGACCCACGUGGUGGAUCUGGACAUUUGGGUUAGCAUUAGAGUGAUGGAUUUAUUUUGCCCCGCUGGUACCCCUCACCCCUGCUCCCAAAAGCUUCCAUCUUCCAAAGAUGCAUAGACAGUAGACUGCUCCUCACCACAAGAGUUUUGGUCUAGAGCUGCUGCUAUCUGCCGAACAAGGUCCUCUUUUGUUUGUGUUGGAAUUUGGCUACAUGAAUGCCCUCUUGAUUCUUGAUUUUUAAAACGUGUUGUUUAGAUAAAAAUGAGUGGUAAAAAGGACUUUUGAAAUAAAAAUGGAUUGGAUUGCAUCUUUUCAGUGCCUAGUGAUAAAAAGAUAAUUUUGUAUGUAAUGUAAAAAGCAUCUACUUCAUACAUGCCAGCACAGUGAGGCUGAAAUUGAACUUAAACUCCCUACCACAUCUUCCUCCCCAGCACACACACAUACACACACAGAGAAAGAGUACUUAUAGGGCUUUAGGCAAGAGAAC
ensembl:lncRNA